GAUGAACGCUGGCGGCGUGCCUAAUACAUGCAAGUCGAGCGAACGGACGAGAAGCUUGCUUCUCUGAUGUUAGCGGCGGACGGGUGAGUAACACGUGGAUAACCUACCUAUAAGACUGGGAUAACUUCGGGAAACCGGAGCUAAUACCGGAUGAUAUUUUGAACCGCAUGGUUCAAAAGUGAAAGACGGUCUUGCUGUCACUUCUAGAUGGAUCCGCGCUGCAUUAGCUAGUUGGCAAGGUAACGGCUUACCAAGGCAACGAUGCAUAGCCGACCUGAGAGGGUGAUCGGCCACACUGGAACUGAGACACGGUCCAGACUCCUACGGGAGGCAGCAGUAGGGAAUCUUCCGCAAUGGGCGAAAGCCUGACGGGGCAACGCCGCGUGAGUGAUGAAGGUCUUCGGAGCGUAAAACUCUGUUAUUAGGGAAGAACAUAUGUGUAAGUAACUGUGCACAGCUUGACGGUACCUAAUCAGAAAGCCACGGAUAACUACGUG
rnacentral:rRNA from 1 species